rnacentral:rRNA from 1 species
GAGUUUGAUCCUGGCUCAGGAUGAACGCUGGCGGCGUGCCUAAUACAUGCAAGUCGAACGAAACUUCUUUAUCAUCGAGUGCUUGCACUCACCGGUAAAGGGUUGAGUGGCGGACGGGUGAGUAACACGUGGGCAACCUGCCCAAAAGAGGGGGAUAACACUUGGAAACAGGUGCUAAUACCGCAUAACCAUAGUUACCGCAUGGUAGCUAUGUAAAAGGUGGCUAUGCUACCGCUUUUGGAUGGGCCCGCGGCGCAUUAGCUAGUUGGUGGGGUAAAGGCUUACCAAGGCAAUGAUGCGUAGCCGAACUGAGAGGUUGAUCGGCCACAUUGGGACUGAGACACGGCCCAAACUCCUACGGGAGGCAGCAGUAGGGAAUCUUCCACAAUGGGCGAAAGCCUGAUGGAGCAACGCCGCGUGGGUGAAGAAGGUCUUCGGAUCGUAAAACCCUGUUGUUAGAGAAGAAAGUGCGUGAGAGUAACUGUUCACGUUUCGACGGUAUCUAACCAGAAAGCCACGGCUAACUACGUGCCAGCAGCCGCGGUAAUACGUAGGUGGCAAGCGUUAUCCGGAUUUAUUGGGCGUAAAGGGAACGCAGGCGGUCUUUUAA